GGAAAUUGUUGAAAACGUUAAAUUUGAUUCCUAAAAGGACUCAAUGGCUUACAGAAGAGACGAAAUGUGGUCUGAGGGACGAUAUGAAUAUGAAAGAAUUCCGAGAGAACGAGCACCUCCUCGAAGUCAUCCCAGUGAUGGCUACAAUAGACUAGUUAAUAUUGUGCCAAAGAAACCACCACUGCUAGACAGACCUGGUGAAGGAAGCUACAAUAGAUAUUACAGUCAUGUUGAUUACCGAGACUAUGACGAGGGCCGCAGUUUUUCUCAUGAUCGAAGAAGUGGUCCACCUCACAGAGGAGAUGAAUCUGGUUAUAGAUGGACAAGAGACGAUCAUUCUGCAAGCAGGCAACCUGAAUACAGGUAAAAGGAUAAAAAUAAUAGCAUAAGUACUUUGAUACUUGACUCACUGUGAUGUCUGCUUUGGAAAUAUAGACUCAAGGCACAUAGAUGAAAUAUUUUACUGGGAUUUUAAAUUUUGAAAGCAACAAGCAUUAUAUUCUUUUUGUGACUAUGUAGUAUAAUAGCACUGAUAACUAGUGUUCCACAUCUCUUGGCAUUUUGUAACUCAUAAAAAAAUAUUUAAAAAUAUUUGGGCCUGGUGCGGUGGCUCACACUGUUAAUCUCCGUGCUUUGGGAGGCCAAGGCGGGCAAAUCACUUGAGGUUAGGAGUUUGAUACCAGCCUGGCCAACAUGGUGGAACCCUGCCUUUACUAAAA
rnacentral:lncRNA from 1 species